GAGCUUAACAUGGUAUUCACGUGUAUGAAGAGCUUGGAGUAUUCACUGGGCAAACUCUUUGAUUCUACAAUAGCUGAUGAGGGAACAUGGACUUUGGAGGACAGAAAAAUGGUUCGUAUUGUUCUUACAAAGACAAAGAGAGAUGCAGCAAAUUGUUGGACUUCUCUACUAGAAUCUGAAUAUGCAGCGGAUCCUUGGGUGCAAGACCAAAUGCAGAGAAAGCUUACAUUAGAGAGAUUCCAAAAAGAAAAUCCUGGUUUUGACUUCAGUGGAGCAGAAAUCUCAGGAAACUACACUAAAGGUGGACCAGAUUUCUCAAACCUUGAGAAAUAACUGCUUUUUUUCCUGCAUUCUGUGGAUCCUAGCAGAUAUUGCCAACUUAAUCAGAUAAACAGAUUAUGUAAUGGAAGAAAAAUGCGGAUGCCUACAGUUAACAGAUUGCAAAAUGUAUCUUAAAAUGGUUCUAAAAAUUGCAUUCAAACAUAAUUUACAUAGGAAAUGUACUGUGGGAACUAUUCUAUGGAUAUAUGGUAAAGUUGUUUUGGACUUGUUUUUGCUCAGCAUGAAGUUUUAUAUGCUGCAUUUUACUAAUUCCAUAUUUAACCAUAUUUUUAAUACAAAAGAACAUUAGAGUAUAGAUCAUGUGAAAUGAAGGGUGCCUUUGGGGAAAAUUAACUUUUUCUUUUGAUAAGUAUGAUAUUCAAUAAAAUUUUCUAAAU
rnacentral:lncRNA from 1 species